rnacentral:rRNA from 1 species
UGGGGAAUAUUGCACAAUGGGCGCAAGCCUGAUGCAGCCAUGCCGCGUGUAUGAAGAAGGCCUUCGGGUUGUAAAGUACUUUCAGCGAGGAGGAAGGCGUUGUGGUUAAUAACCGCAACGAUUGACGUUACUCGCAGAAGAAGCACCGGCUAACUCCGUGCCAGCAGCCGCGGUAAUACGGAGGGUGCAAGCGUUAAUCUGAAUUACUGGGCGUAAAGCGCACGCAGGCGGUCUGUCAAGUCGGAUGUGAAAUCCCCGGGCUCAACCUGGGAACUGCAUCCGAAACUGGCAGGCUAGAGUCUUGUAGAGGGGGGUAGAAUUCCAGGUGUAGCGGUGAAAUGCGUAGAGAUCUGGAGGAAUACCGGUGGCGAAGGCGGCCCCCUGGACAAAGACUGACGCUCAGGUGCGAAAGCGUGGGGAGCAAACA